rnacentral:piRNA from 1 species
UCUUUAGGUGAUUCUCAGCCACUUGGUAUUC